AUGAACGCUGGCGGCGUGCCUAAUACAUGCAAGUCGCGCGAACGGACGAGGAGCUUGCUUCUCUGAUGUUAGCGGCGGACGGGUGAGUAACACGUGGAUAACCUACCUAUAAGACUGGGAUAACUUCGGGAAACCGGAGCUAAUACCGGAUAAUAUUUUGAACCGCAUGGUUCAAAAGUGAAAGACGGUCUUGCUGUCACUUAUAGAUGGAUCCGCGCUGCAUUAGCUAGUUGGUAAGGUAACGGCUUACCAAGGCAACGAUGCAUAGCCGACCUGAGAGGGUGAUCGGCCACACUGGAACUGAGACACGGUCCAGACUCCUACGGGAGGCAGCAGUAGGGAAUCUUCCGCAAUGGGCGAAAGCCUGACGGAGCAACGCCGCGUGAGUGAUGAAGGUCUUCGGAUCGUAAAACUCUGUUAUUAGGGAAGAACAUAUGUGUAAGUAACUGUGCACAUCUUGACGGUACCUAAUCAGAAAGCCACGGCUAACUACGUG
rnacentral:rRNA from 1 species